AGUGAACGCUGGCGGCGUGCCUAACACAUGCAAGUCGAACGAUGAAGUCCUUCGGGAUGGAUUAGUGGCGCACGGGUGAGUAUACCAUAGAUAAUGUACCUCUUAGUUCGGGAUAGCCACUGGAAACGGUGAUUAAUACCGGAUACUCCUUCUUGUCCUAAGGCAAGUCGGGAAAGUUUUUUCGCUAAGAGAUCAGUCUAUGUCCUAUCAGCUAGUUGGUGAGGUAAUGGCUCACCAAGGCUAUGACGGGUAUCUGGUUUGAGAGGAUGAUCAGACACACUGGAACUGAGACACGGUCCAGACUCCUACGGGAGGCAGCAGUGAGGAAUAUUGCACAAUGGAGGAAACUCUGAUGCAGCAACGCCGCGUGGAGGAUGACGCAUUUCGGGGUGUAAACUCCUUUUAAGAGGGAAGAUAAUGACGGUACCUCUUGAAUAAGCACCGGCUAACUCCGUGCCAGCCGCCGCGGUAA
rnacentral:rRNA from 1 species